CCUACGUGUGGCAGCAGUGAGGAAUAUUGGUCAAUGGGCGGGAGCCUGAACCAGCCAAGUCGCGUGAGGGAAGACGGUCCUAUGGAUUGUAAACCUCGUUAGUCGGGGAGCAAUGCCGGGCACGCGUGCCCGGAGGGAGAGUACCCGCAGUAUAAGCAUCGGCUAACUCCGGACCAGCAGCCGCGGUAAUACGUAGGAUUCGAGCGUUAUCCGGAUUUAUUGGGUUUAAAGGGAGCGUAGGUGGAUUGUUAAGUCAGUUGUGAAAGUUUGCUGCUCAACCGUAAAAGUGCAGUUGAAACUGGCAGUCUUGAUUACAGUAGAGGUGAGCGGAAUUCGUGGUGUAGCGGUGAAAUGCUUAGAUAUCACGAAGAACUCCGAUUGCGAAGACAGUUCACUGGACUGCAACUGACACUGAGGCUCGAAAGUGUGGGUAUCAAACAGGAUUAGAUACCCGUGUAGUC
rnacentral:rRNA from 1 species